rnacentral:rRNA from 1 species
AUGCAAGGUAUGGCGUUAGCUAUACAACACUCGGACCUCCCGGUGGUGGUGCAGUCGGACUCCUUGGAGGCUUUGUCCAGUCUUUCCAAUAAUGCUCUUUGUAAAUCAGCUUAUGGCCACCUUGUGCUGGAGAUCAAGGAUUUGUUAGGUACUAGGGAGUUUUUUCCUUUGAAGAUUACCCGUUCUCAGAAUAGAGUUGCCGAUCGUCUGGCCCAUUAUAGCCGCACGGAGCGAACUACUGCUGUGUGGUUGGGCUCAGUACCACCGUGUAUUGAGGAUUUGUGGCCUCAAGACUGUAACUCUGUCAUUAUGCAAUAA